CCCACAGCCAACAUCACACUCGUCGGUGAGAGGCUGACACCUUGCGCUCUGAGAGUGGGAACAGGGCAAGGACAUCCUCUGUCACCACUCGCCUUCUGUCCUACGGAGUGCAAUUAGAUCAGAAGAAGAAAUAAGUGGCACGUGAUUGGAAAGGAAGAGAUAAAACUGUCUUUGUUCACAGACGACACCCAGCAGCGGAGGUGUGUCUAGAGAGAGAGGUGACUUCAAGGGUUGACUUACGCAGUUGUGGGGGCUGGUCCCGGCCACACCUGCAGGGUGGGCGGGCAAACUGGAGACCCAGGGGAGCGCCGACGGUGCAGCCUGGAGCCCCAGGGCCGCCCGGAGGAGAAUCCCUCCGCUGGGGAUGGUCAGUCCUUUCCAUCAAGGUCUUCACCUGACUGGAUGAAGUCCACGCAUCAGUAAUCUGAUUACAGAGGCUGAUGGGCUCUACUCAAAGGCUGCUGACUCAAACGUUAAUCUGCCUAAAGAAUAUCUUCACAGAAAAGGGAACGCUUGUGCGCUGCUGGUGGGAAUAUAAAUUGGUACAGUCAUUAUGGGAAGUAGUUUAGAGGUUACUCAAAAAAUUAAAAAUAGAACUACGAUAGGAUCGAGCAUUCCCACUUCUGGGUAUAUAUUCAAGGGAAUGGAAACCCUCUCACAGAGAGACCUGUGUGCCAGGUUCACUGAGCCUUAUUCACAGCAGCAAAGACAGGGAAACAGCCGGAAUGUCCAUCACAGAUGAAUGCACAUACGUAUACGUAUCUCAUUUUCUUAAUUUUUCAACAAAAAAAAGAAGGAAAUCCUGCCAUUCACAACAACAUGGAUGGGCCUGGAGGACACUACGCUGAGUGAAAUAAGUCAGACACAGAAAGACAAACAGUGCAUCAUCUCACUUAUAUGUGGGUCUGAAAAGAUGGAACCAGGAGUAGAAUGGGGUUUGUCAGGGGCUGCAGGUGGAGAGACGGGAGAAGCUGGUCAAGGGUACAAGCUUCCAGUCACAAGGUCCAGGUUCCCGAAGUCUGGUCCGUGGAGGGAAACGUGUGUGGAAUGAACCCUCUGCGGGUCUCCAAUCUGGCUGCUUUCCAGGGCCUUGUGGGGACAAGCCUGGCACCAGUGCAAAGGCAGAGCCCCGACAGCCCCCUUUUGGGACCUGGUUCCUCCGAGGUCCUGCAUCUGCGCCAGUGGCGAGAGAAUGAAGGAGCAGGCCAGGCUGUUUUCUCAGGACAUCAAACAGAUCGACCAGGAUGUGAACCAAACAUUCUGAAACCAUAUUAUGU
rnacentral:lncRNA from 1 species